UCUGUGCUAGAAACCAGAGAUCUGGCAAUGAUGAUGAUGAUGUAUUAUCCUCAGAAAACUUACCAAACUUCUAUAGCACAAAGGAACCCUGCAAGUUAAGGAUUUCCACUCUCAUUUCACAGCAAAGGGACAUGAAGACCUAAGAGGCUAAGUAUUAUCAAAGGUGCCAUACUGGUAUGUGGUAAAGCCAAGAUCCAAGCGCCAAGUCUGGUGCUGGAGUUCAUGUUCUGGCAGCUAUGCAUGCUACUUCAGGACUUCUGUGAAUCUACUGUGAAGAAUGACCCCGAAGACAAGGUCUCUAAAUCAGGUAGUCACUCUUCCUAGGUCUUCCAUACUUACGUCUAAAAUCUGGUAAAACAUCUACAAAGGUGGUCUGGAGCAUGAAGGAAAAAUGUCUGGAGAAAGAGGCCACAGAAUGGUUGAUGGAGCAGCAGUGCAGGUUGCAGGGGCCUAAGGUACCCUCUGCCUGGAGGCAGCUGGACAAAGUUGCUGAUCUGGAAAGAGGCUCUUUUUACCUCUGUUCUCCAGCCACUAACAAUCCUGAAGAAGUAACACUGACUGGAGAUCAAUGUGUGCGCCUGAGGCAAGGGAGAGAUGUUAAGUAAGUGCCCUAAGUCCAUAUCCUCACAGUAAAAAGCUCAUAUAUAAUCUUAUCACAUGUUUAAAAAAAAUAAAGGAAAUUGAAAUUGUU